GGGGCCCGCACAAGCGGUGGAGCAUGUGGUUUAAUUCGACGCAACGCGAAGAACCUUACCAGGGCUUGACAUCCCCUGACCGCGUAUGAAAGUACGUUUUCACCUUCGGGAGACAGGGAGACAGGUGGUGCAUGGUUGUCGUCAGCUCGUGUCGUGAGAUGUUGGGUUAAGUCCCGCAACGAGCGCAACCCCUACGUUUAGUUGCUAACGCGUGAAGGCGAGCACUCUAGACGAACUGCCGUUGACAAAACGGAGGAAGGUGGGGAUGACGUCAAAUCAUCAUGCCCCUUAUGUUCUGGGCUACACACGUGCUACAAUGGCCGGUACAGACGGACGCAAAGCCGCGAGGUGGAGCAAAUCCUAAAAAGCCGGUCUCAGUUCGGAUUGCAGGCUGCAAUUCGCCUGCAUGAAGUCGGAAUCGCUAGUAAUCGCAGGUCAGCAUACUGCGGUGAAUACGUUCCCGGGCCUU
rnacentral:rRNA from 1 species